rnacentral:rRNA from 1 species
GAUGAACGCUGGCGGCGUGCCUAAUACAUGCAAGUCGAGCGAAUGGAUUGAGAGCUUGCUCUUAUGAAGUUAGCGGCGGACGGGUGAGUAACACGUGGGUAACCUGCCCAUAAGACUGGGAUAACUCCGGGAAACCGGGGCUAAUACCGGAUAACAUUUUGAACCGCAUGGUUCGAAAUUGAAAGGCGGCUUCGGCUGUCACUUAUGGAUGGACCCGCGUCGCAUUAGCUAGUUGGUGAGGUAACGGCUCACCAAGGCAACGAUGCGUAGCCGACCUGAGGGGGCGAUCGGCCACACUGGGACUGGGACACGGCCCAGACUCCUACGGGAUGCAGCAGUAGGGAAUCUUCCGCAAUGAACGAAAGUCUGACGGAGCAACGCGGCGUGAGUGAUGAAGGCUUUCGGGUCGUAAAACUCUGUUGUUAGGGAAGAACAAGUGCUAGUUGAAUAAGCUGGCACCUUGACGGUACCUAACCAGAAAGCCACGGCUAACUACGUGCCAGCAGCCGCCGUAA